AUAUACAUAAGUGAUUUUCUCUUAUGCUAACAAGUCAUAGUGACCCGAAAAGGCGACACUAGUACGUAAGGAAGAAUACUUACGAGACAUGCCGGCGGUCACUGAAGACGUACACUGACACACGGCAUGUGGCUAUCAAGUAACCUUAUAUAGUCAACUAUGACUGACUAAUCUCUCUCGUUCUUUCGUUGUUCUUUGUAGCAAUUAAGCAUAUCGCCUUUUCCUUACACUCUUGAUCGUGUAACCCAUAUGAAUUAGUUACUCUUUGCAUGUUUUCGUACAAAGUAUCUUGUUGAGGAUGUAGAUAACAACCCCCCCGUGGCGACUUGAUCAACGAAUAACCUCUUUUUCUCCUUGAUCGCUAUCUCGAAUGCGUGUCUGGCAUUGGUUUUUCCCCAUACGACUGUACCUGGCUGCUUUGCAUCUUUUAUAAAUUACAUUCACUUGACAGUUUUUUUCUUGACUUGCGAAGACGUACGUGUAGAUAAUGGAGUCUUAUUUAGUCUUUCUUAAGUAGUGAAUAGUUUCUUUUCGCCAAACGUGACUCCAGUAUUGGUGUUCCUCAUGCUUGCAAUGCAACUCGUGUAAAUUAGCUUCUCUUUGUUUUUCUCCAGAAUCCCUAUUACGCAUUUCACAAGCGAUUCCUACCUGAUUGCUAACCAGCCUUGAGACUUGUUAUCCGUUGGGAGGGGGAAGGCAUGCGAAUCACACCAUCUUUCACUUUUUUCCUGAGAGCCGAUACUAAUCGAUCCUCGCGUGGUUACAUAAGAAGAAAUUCCUGAGGAGGAAAAAUGAAAAUCCCCCCCCAGCUGACGCUGUGAGGAUUACGAACAUGGGAAAUUCCAUAGCCGGAAGGUUGUCUGCCAACCAUUCGACUCAGAGAGUACAUGUUGCCAGGACACCGACGGAGUGUCAACGUGCGUUCAUCACAUAGACAACACACUUGCAAACACUCAUGCUGUUUUCCGAGGAAAGCAUGUCAUCGAUUUUGGAGAAACUCAACAAACUGAAAAAGUCGGGAGAUGGAGAAAUUCAAAAGAUGAGUAUGUUAUCGAAGAAUCAAAAAUUUGAUGUUCUGGAUAUUCGCAGAAUUGAGACAAUGUAUGGAGACACUGUCUACGUAGAAUUACUGACAGAUAAUGAGACCAAGGUGAAAGUCUACCUUCCGAAUAGAUUCAAGCGACUUUCGGACGAAGACCUGGAAGAGAUGAGACAGUUACCAAACCUCCAAAUGGAGAAGAAGGAUGGAUACCGCAAUGGCAAGAAGUUGGCGUAUCCAGACAUCAUUUUCACUAAUGGGAAGAAAAAGUAACUUCGGAAAUCAUGGUCACCUGUCACUUGUGUGCUCCACAUGAGCGACAGUUCUACGCAACACCGGUAGGACUCCAAAUUCAUCUGGCAAACGUACACCAACUGGAGACACCAUGCAUCCCAUUCUGUGAGACUUUAUGCACACUUCGAAAUUACACAAGACGCUUCGAGCUGCACUUGCAUGACAGAGACGAGGCUGGACAUGAUGUGACAACGUUCUUUCAUCUAUACGGACAGUAUAUUGGUAGUGUGUUGCGAUACUUUGGUUUCCCAUUACGUUUUUACAUCCUUCUCAAAGCAGAACUUGGACGACAUACAGUGGAUGAUGAUGAGAUACGACUUGAUACACGAUUCGUGCCUUCCAAGGUGAGGACAGUAUGGUCGGAAGUUGACAUAGAACCCGCUAUUAUUCAGUCAGGCAGCGAAAUUGCGCACAACUUGGAAAGUCUCGAAAUCGAAGGCUCUGGUUUUUUCCUCUUUCGUAUUCUCACAUGCAUUAUCAAUGUUGGACGUCUACUGCCUGAACUAAUCGGUUGUAGUGACUUUGAGCUGCCUGCAGAGUUGAAACGAAAGAAUAGGUCUUUACUGAAUGUGGAUUACGGUCUGCACGAGGGUGAGCAAAAUAUGUGUUUUGCAUUUUCCGUGAUAGCAGGAUUGCAUCCUGCUGAUCGAUUUCGAAGACAUAGAGCAUCCUCGUAUCGGUCAUACUUAUCUCAGUAUGUGCUCCCAGAGUCAUUUCCCAUCGCGUAUCCCAAAGAUGUAGAAAUGUUUGAAAAGCAAAAUGGCAUCACCAUUAAUGUCUAUGCAUAUGAAAGGGAAGAGAAAUUUGUCUAUCCUAUAAAAGUUGUGAACGAGGAAUGCGAAAAACAUGUGGAUCUACUCAUGAUUGACUCUCAUUUUGUGGUCAUCACAAAUUUCAAUGGUUUGUUUCAAAAACGUGGACGUUUCCAUUGCAAGCGAUGUACCAUGGGUUUCACUACACAAGCUGUCCUGAGUAAUCAUAUAAACAUGUGCAAACUUCAGAAAGUAGGCAAGACAGUUUAUCCAAAGAAAGGAGACACUUUAGAGUUCGCUGGUGAGCGUCUUUUGGCUGAAGUACCUUUCUACUGUGUGUAUGACUUUGAGAGUGUCCUGUCACCAUGUCUUGAUGGAGGAAAUGUGUAUGAAGAUCAUAUCCCCUCCUCCUUCUGCCUCUUAGUUAUACGAGCGUCAGAUUCAAAUGUUCUCCAGAAACACCUUUUUCGUGGACCAAAUUGUGUUGCUGUGUUCAUGAGUCUACUGCACAGAUUACAUGACGAAAUUUUGGAGUGGAUACAGCAGAUUGCACCUCUGGAAAUGAGCGAAGAGAACGAACGCCAGCACGCCGCCGCCACCCACUGUAACUUUUGCAAAGAGUCGUUUGCAAAGAAACAGAAAGUGCGCGACCAUGACCAUGUAAGUGGAACGUUUCGACAAUCCUUGUGUCAAUCGUGCAACCUCAAUUUCAGAACACCUCAGAUGAUUCCAAUCAUUGCUCACAAUGCUAACUAUGAUAUGAGUUUCCUUGUGUCUCAUUUGCAUUUG